UCCUCUUCAUGAGGUACAUCAAAAUGCCUUUGUCAAGCAUGACAUGCAACCGUUUCGCCUUUUUUUAAUUUUAAAGACUUUUGUGAUAUUGAAAAAAUACUAUAGUGCAAAAACCAUCCUCAUGUAGUAGAAUUUGUCUUCUAAUCGAAAAUCAAUCACGUUUAAAGUCAUCAAAAUUGUGAGAGCGUGUGUUGACUUCAGCAGUCAAGAAAUUGGUUUUGAGUUGUUGGAUUGGUCGUCUCGGUUAAGUAAAAUAUUAAUGGCGUCCGUGUAUAUCGGCGUACAAAUCUGUAGAUUCUCGUUUGUGCUGUGAAUAGUUACCAAUGAUUUGUAAAUUUCAUUCGCGAUGGAACUAAUUCAGUUAGAAGAAUGAAUCACCAUGUAUUGGAAGUCCCUCAGACAUGUCGAACAUAUAUUCAGAUGCACAUUUUCUACGCCAUCCUAGGAAAAUCGUUUGACCAAUGAGAGAGAAUAUUUUUGCAAUCUUUAUAAAGUCCCAAAAUUGAAACGAGUAUUUCUGCCCUAAGAUGCUGGCCCCUCCCAAAAUACGAUCUCAGAGUCGGAAGAGGAUUGUGAUUGAAAUGGACAGCGGAAAGUCUAGUUCUCCCCUCAGUCGAAACGAAGCGGACGAAGAGAUGGAAGUAGGCGACUGCUCUGAGGAAGCGGAAGAAGAGGAGGAUGAAGACGAGGAGAAUGAAGAGCAAAACGAGAACGAAAAUGAAGAGGAAGAUGAGGAUGUUGUAAUGGCAGAGAGCUCUGCACCUCCACCCUCUGAGCCCACUUCAUCACCACCUGUAACAUACGAAGGGCUAGCUUCCCCUCUCCGCCUUCAUAUCACAUCAAGUGGCAAACCUCUUAGUCUGCACCGUGGUCGGGGUCGCCCGCGAAAAGAUGCCAGUUCUGCCGCAAACUCAGGGAAACCCAAAAAAUUGGGGCUUAAAUUAAAACGGUGGAAAAGCGGAAUGUAUGUACAAUCCCGGGAACCACCUUCACGGAGAGAUUCGAGUGAUACACUAAACACCUCUGUAGAUUCUUGUCAGUCCGAUUUAACACCUGAUGGAGUUGAGUCGUCCAUUACUGAUGAAAGCCUGACAAAACUCCGAUUGAUGACAGAAUCACUCUAUUUCAAGAACAGUGGCCUGGGAAAGUUUGUGCUCUUUGUAAUUUGGGCGAACGAAGUCAACUUGGUCAAGGUGAACUGAUGCGGCUCAGCGUUCCUGAAGGUUUUGUGAUCCCACAGAAAGAUCCAUCAAAAACAACUAAUGGGUUCAUGUCUCCUCCCUCCGAUCUCUCAGAUGCAGCCCCAUUUUCACAGCAUGGUGACAAAUCCCCUAGAUCAACCAUCCGGCUGUUACAUUUAGGAGGCAGAAAAGUUGGGCAAAAUCAAAGUAAGUAGUUGUAGAAAUAUUUUCAUUGCGGUUUUAAAGUCCCUGAUGCACACCAUACCCAA
rnacentral:lncRNA from 1 species